ACUUAAAUAAUUUAAUUUAAAAUACUAGUUUGUGGGCCUAGAUAUGCUAUAUUGCUUUAGGUU
rnacentral:tRNA from 1 species